rnacentral:rRNA from 1 species
CCUACGGGACGCACCAGUGGGGAAUAUUGGACAAUGGGCGAAGGCCUGAUCCAGCAAUGCCGCGUGUGUGAAGAAGGUCUUCGGAUUAUAAAGCACUUUCGACGGGGACGAUGAUGACGGUACCCGUAGAAGAAGCCCCGGCUAACUUCGUGCCAGCAGCCGCGGUAAUACGAAGGGGGCUAGCGUUGCUCGGAAUGACUGGGCGUAAAGGGCGCGUAGGCGGUUUAUGCAGUCAGAUGUGAAAUCCCCGGGCUUAACCUGGGAACUGCAUUUGAGACGCAUAGACUAGAGGUCGAGAGAGGGUUGUGAAUUCUCAGUGUAGAGGUGAAAUUCGUAGAUAUUGGGAAGAACACCGGUGGCGGAGGCGGCAACCUGGCUCGAUACUGGCGCUGAGGCGCGAAAGCGUGGGGAGCAAACAGGAUUAGAUACCCUGGUAGUC